GAUGAACGCUGGCGGCGUGCCUAAUACAUGCAAGUCGAGCGAACGGACGAGAAGCUUGCUUCUCUGAUGUUAGCGGCGGACGGGUGAGUAACACGUGGAUAACCUACCUAUAAGACUGGGAUAACUUCGGGAAACCGGAGCUAAUACCGGAUAAUAUUUUGAACCGCAUGGUUCAAAAGUGAAAGACGGUCUUGCUGUCACUUAUAGAUGGAUCCGCGCUGCAUUAGCUAGUUGGUAAGGUAACGGCUUACCCAGGCAACGAUGCAUAGCCGACCUGAGAGGGUGAUAGGCCACACUGGAACUGAGACACGGUCCAGACUCCUACGGGAGGCAACAGUAGGGAAUCUUCCGCAAUGGGCGAAAGCCUGACGGAGCAACGCCGCGUGAGUGAUGAAGGUCUUCGGAUCGUAAAAAUCUGUUAUUAGGGAAGAACAUAUGUGUAAGUAACUGUGCACAUCUUGACGGUACCUAAUCAGAAAGCCACGGCUAACUACGUG
rnacentral:rRNA from 1 species